rnacentral:rRNA from 1 species
GGGACACGUGGUAUCCUGUCUGAAUAUGGGGGGACCAUCCUCCAAGGCUAAAUACUCCUGACUGACCGAUAGUGAACCAGUACCGUGAGGGAAAGGCGAAAAGAACCCCGGCGAGGGGAGUGAAAAAGAACCUGAAACCGUGUACGUACAAGCAGUGGGAGCACGCUUAGGCGUGUGACUGCGUACCUUUUGUAUAAUGGGUCAGCGACUUAUAUUCUGUAGCAAGGUUAACCGAAUAGGGGAGCCGAAGGGAAACCGAGUCUUAACUGGGCGUUAAGUUGCAGGGUAUAGACCCGAAACCCGGUGAUCUAGCCAUGGGCAGGUUGAAGGUUGGGUAACACUAACUGGAGGACCGAACCGACUAAUGUUGAAAAAUUAGCGGAUGACUUGUGGCUGGGGGUGAAAGGCCAAUCAAACCGGGAGAUAGCUGGUUCUCCCCGAAAGCUAUUUAGGUAGCGCCUCGUGAAUUCAUCUCCGGGGGUAGAGCACUGUUUCGGCAAGGGGGUCAUCCCGACUUACCAACCCGAUGCAAACUGCGAAUACCGGAGAAUGUUAUCACGGGAGACACACGGCGGGUGCUAACGUCCGUCGUGAAGAGGGAAACAACCCAGACCGCCAGCUAAGGUCCCAAAGUCAUGGUUAAGUGGGAAACGAUGUGGGAAGGCCCAGACAGCCAGGAUGUUGGCUUAGAAGCAGCCAUCAUUUAAAGAAAGCGUAAUAGCUCACUGGUCGAGUCGGCCUGCGCGGAAGAUGUAACGGGGCUAAACCAUGCACCGAAGCUGCGGCAGCGACACUAUGUGUUGUUGGGUAGGGGAGCGUUCUGUAAGCCUGUGAAGGUGUGCUGUGAGGCAUGCUGGAGGUAUCAGAAGUGCGAAUGCUGACAUAAGUAACGAUAAAGCGGGUGAAAAGCCCGCUCGCCGGAAGACCAAGGGUUCCUGUCCAACGUUAAUCGGGGCAGGGUGAGUCGACCCCUAAGGCGAGGCCGAAAGGCGUAGUCGAUGGGAAACAGGUUAAUAUUCCUGUACUUGGUGUUACUGCGAAGGGGGGACGGAGAAGGCUAUGUUGGCCGGGCGACGGUUGUCCCGGUUUAAGCGUGUAGGCUGGUUUUCCAGGCAAAUCCGGAAAAUCAAGGCUGAGGCGUGAUGACGAGGCACUACGGUGCUGAAGCAACAAAUGCCCUGCUUCCAGGAAAAGCCUCUAAGCAUCAGGUAACAUCAAAUCGUACCCCAAACCGACACAGGUGGUCAGGUAGAGAAUACCAAGGCGCUUGAGAGAACUCGGGUGAAGGAACUAGGCAAAAUGGUGCCGUAACUUCGGGAGAAGGCACGCUGAUAUGUAGGUGAAGUCCCUCGCGGAUGGAGCUGAAAUCAGUCGAAGAUACCAGCUGGCUGCAACUGUUUAUUAAAAACACAGCACUGUGCAA